UACGGGGGGGGCAAGCGUUGUUCGGAAUUACUGGGCGUAAAGGGCUCGUAGGCGGCCAACUAAGUCGGAUGUGAAAUCCCCAGGCUCAACCUGGGAACUGCAUCCGAUACUGGAUGGCUUGAAUUCGGGAGAGGGAUGCAGAAUUCCAGGUGUAGCGGUGAAAUGCGUAGAUAUCUGGAGGAAUACCGGUGGCGAAGGCGGCAUCCUGGACCGACAUUGACGCUGAGGAGCGAAAGCCGGGGGAGCAAACGGG
rnacentral:rRNA from 1 species